UACAGAGGUCUCGAGCGUUAGGCGGAAUUACUGGGCGUAAAGCGUGCGUAGACGGUUAUGUAAGUCGGGUGUGAAAGCCCCGGGCUCAACCUGGGAAUGCCAUUCGAGACUGCAUAGCUAGGGUGCGGAAGAGGGAAGCGGAAUUUCCGGUGUAGCGGUGAAAUGCGUAGAUAUCGGAAGGAACACCAGUGGCGAAAGCGGCUUCCUGGUCCAGCACCGACGUUCAGGCACGAAAGCGUGGGGAGCAAACAGG
rnacentral:rRNA from 1 species